UACGUAGGGCGCAAGCGUUGUCCGGAAUUAUUGGGCGUAAAGAGCUCGUAGGCGGCUUGUCACGUCGGAUGUGAAAGCCCGGGGCUUAACUCCGGGUCUGCAUUCGAUACGGGCUAGCUAGAGUGUGGUAGGGGAGAUCGGAAUUCCUGGUGUAGCGGUGAAAUGCGCAGAUAUCAGGAGGAACACCGGUGGCGAAGGCGGAUCUCUGGGCCAUUACUGACGCUGAGAGACGAAAGCUAGGGGAGCAAAUGGG
rnacentral:rRNA from 1 species